rnacentral:rRNA from 1 species
AUGCGUUGAGCUAACCGGUAAUAAUGAACCGUGGGGCGUAACCUUACAAAGCCGAAG